rnacentral:rRNA from 1 species
UACGUAGGGUGCGAGCGUUGUCCGGAAUUACUGGGCGUAAAGAGCUCGUAGGUGGCUUGUCGCGUCUGCCGUGAAAGCCCGUGGCUUAACUACGGGUCUGCGGUGGAUACGGGCAGGCUAGAGGCUGGUAGGGGCAAGCGGAAUUCCUGGUGUAGCGGUGAAAUGCGCAGAUAUCAGGAGGAACACCGGUGGCGAAGGCGGCUUGCUGGGCCAGUUCUGACGCUGAGGAGCGAAAGCGUGGGGAGCGAACAGG